GUCAGACCUUCCGGAACAUUUUCAAAAGUUAUGUUGAAAAAGUAAAUUUUUUGUGAAAAAGUUGUCAUUUUAAAUCCCCCCCUGUGGGCAGAUUAAGUGUCAGAUUUACAAAAAAAAUAUACCAAAUGAUAAGUAAAGACAUCAAGCAUCUAUAUAAAAAAAAAUUAUAUUGAUAUGUUCAUUUUUGAAAAAGUUACGGCAGUUUUUAGUAAAAAAAAUUGAAAAAAUUUCGAAAAUUAGCGAUUUUUAAAUUUGUAAUUUUUUUGGAGGUUUCCCCCAUUUACGGGGAACGAGGGAAAUUUUUUCAAUUUUGAAGGGUAAUGUCUUCGACUAGAUACAAUUUGUGAUCUUUUGACGUAUC